CUCUAAACAGCCACUAAGGAAAGGCAAAUAUGGAGAUCACCCUUCAGAUUUUCAUAUGUCAGUCCACUAGGAGAUGAGCUGAUACUCUGAGGGUGCAUAGCUUUGAACUACAGAAGCAAAGGGCUACGGUAGAAUAUGAACAGUGGUCUCCAACAUCCUCGCUGGCCUCACCAAAGAGCCUGUAUGCAUCCUGCUGGACAACUGUCCCUCUGCCCACCUUCCACACUGGGUCCCCAGGAAGAAAGAACAACAAUGACAGCAACCACAGGUCCAGCAACCGGCCAGGAGCCCUGCCAGCAGCACAACCAACAAUGAGGGGCACCCACACUGCAGGGCCCUGCCAUCCAGAUGGGACCAGGAGCCCAUCUCUUUCCUUGAGCUACUAGGAGUUGAUUUGGUUCAGUUCCAUGGCCACAGCUGGCUUCAACGAGGAGGCUGGGUCACUUAUGACAUUUCUCGACCUU